AACGGCCAUACCUUGCUAAAUAUACCGGUUCUCGUUAUAUCACCGAAGUCAAGCAUCAUUGGGCACGGUCAGUACUUGGGUGGGUGACCACCUGGGAACACCGCGUGCUGUUG
rnacentral:rRNA from 1 species